rnacentral:lncRNA from 1 species
UCCAGGCCUAAACUCAUGGGUUCCGAAUGGGCAAGGGAGCAGAAUCAAGCAUCGGCGACUCAGAAAGUAGCCCCUGGAGAACUUCAAGAAGGCAGCAGGCUACAGGCUGUGGAGGUCCCUGCACUAAGAUGCCUUUGGGCUGUCACCACUCUCGUUCUUUAUAAAUAUUAAAGUGCUAGCAACUAGCAAAGCCCUUCUGGGCCGUAGCCUCUGAUGUGGGUGGGGCAGGCAGGUGAGAAAACUGAGGCUCAAAGGUUUCCUGCUUCCAAUCAGAGGUCUCAGUAGGAGAGCUGCACUCUGGGUUUCCUGUUUCCAGUGUGGAUCCUGGGGUAUAUUUUCCUGGGAGCCAACAGGGAGUGUACUGGGAAAAGGAGAAAGUACUCACAGCAGAACU